rnacentral:rRNA from 1 species
CACUAUCUGGUAGAGCUUCUUAGAGGGACGUUCUUCUACAAGAUGAAGGAAGAUGGCGGCAUAACAGGUCUGUGAUGCCCUUAUAUGUCCUGGGCCGCACGCGCGUUACACUGAUGCACUCAACGAGCAUAUAACCUUGGCCGAGAGGCCUGGGUAAUCUUGAUAACAUGCAUCGUGAUAGGGAUAAAUUAUUGCAAUUAUUAAUCUUGAACGAGGAAUUCCUAGUAAUCGCGGUUCAUCAAACCGCAAUGAUUACAUCCCUGCCCUUUGUACACACCGCCUGUCGCACCUACCGAUUGAAUGGUCCGGUGAGGACUCGGGAUUGUGGUUUGGCUCCUUUAUUGGGGCCUGACCGCGAGAACUUGUCCGAACCUUAUCAUUUAAAGGAAGGUGAAGUCGUAACAAGGUUUUCGUACGUGAUUUUUUUAUAAGGAUCCAAAGGGCGAAUACUGCCGAUACCCUUCACGCUGGGCGACGGUAAAGCAUGCAUCUAGAUUCGU